AUUGAACGCUGGCGGCAGGCCUAACACAUGCAAGUCGGGCGAGCGGCGGACGGGUGAGUAAUGUAUGGGGAUCUCCCUGCUGGCGGGGGUUAACUACUGGAAACGGUAGCUAUUACCGCAUACCUUCAGAUGACCCCAUACGGGAUUGGCUGGUAUGUUAGGUAACGGCUUACCUAGGCGACGAUCCCUAGCUGGUCUGAGAGGAUGAUCAGCCACACGGGGACUGAGACACGGCCCAGACUCCUACAGGAGGCAGCGGUGGGGAAGAUGGGACGAUGGGAGCAAGCCGGAUACAGCGAUGCCGCGUGUGUGAAGAGGGUAUUAGGAUUUUAAGGCUCUUUAAGGUGGGAGGCGUUACCAACAGAAUAAGCACCGGCUAACUACGUGCCAGCAGCCGCGGUAAUAC
rnacentral:rRNA from 1 species